UCCUUUAACUGGUUCUGUUGGUUUUACUUGUUGCAUCUAUAUUGCAGGUCAAGACAUGCAUUCUUAUGUAGUAGUGUUUUAGAGUUAUCAACUUCGAAAUGACACCCUUUGUACCAUGUGGACUGUUAAAAUGACACCCUUUGGUGUUUCUUAAGGUUUUGAGGACAUCCCUGGAAAAUAAAAUUGAUAUAAGAGAUUAAAAAAUAAAAUUUUAUGAUACCAAAAUGUUUCUUGAUUUACAUGAAGAUUGAAUAAAGAUUUGGAAUAUUUGAGAAACAAAGAAUUGAAUUAGAACAAUUGCAUGCUAUUUUUCUUCCAAUUUGGAAUCUUAAAAUUCAAAUUGCCAUAUAUGUUUCUUUUAAAGAAUCAUUCUAGUACAAAAUGAAUCUUUGACUUCUGAAAUGACACAAUCUUUCGUAUUUGUUAAGGUUUCAGAACAUCCAUGGAGAGUAGAAAUGAUACAACAACUUAAAACUUAAAUGUAGUCUAAUACCAAAAAUGUUUCUUGAUUUCAUGGAAAAAAUGAAUAAGACAAUUUGAAAUAUGUGGGAAAAAAUAAA